rnacentral:rRNA from 1 species
UCUUCCCUCUCUCUUCGUGCCUCCUCCCUGCACGUCGAGCGCACAGACGAGGAGCUUGCUCCUCUGACGUUAGCGGCGGACGGGUGAGUAACACGUGGAUAACCUACCUAUAAGACUGGGAUAACUUCGGGAAACCGGAGCUAAUACCGGAUAAUAUAUUGAACCGCAUGGUUCAAUAGUGAAAGACGGUUUUGCUGUCACUUAUAGAUGGAUCCGCGCCGCAUUAGCUAGUUGGUAAGGUAACGGCUUACCCAGGCAACGAUGCGUAGCCGACCUGAGAGGGUUGUCGGCCACACUGUAACUGAGACACGGUCCAGACUCCUACGGGAGGCAGCAGUAGGGACUCUUACGCAAUGGGCGAAAGCUUGACGGAGCAACACCGCGGGAGUGAUGAAGGUCUUCGGCUCGUAAAACUCUGUGAGUAGGGAAGAACAAAUAUGUAAGUAACUAUGCACGUCUUGACGGUACCUAAUCAGAAGGCCACGGCUAAGUACGUG